AAAAAAUUACAGAAAAGGGCAGGUUUUGCCAUUUUGGUGACAAAAAAAGGUCAACAGUGACUGGCCAUCCAAUAAUAGGUGAACUAGCAGUGCCAAUGUAGUUUUCUUGUAACCUACUUGCUAAUUUUAUGAGUUUGCAACAGUUGAGGAAAUGAUUUCCAUUUUGAAAACGAGUGACAUUACCUUGAAAAUGAAUUAGUUACCAAUUUUCCUAUGUAUGCUUAACAUGA
rnacentral:misc_RNA from 1 species